rnacentral:tRNA from 1 species
GGGUCGGUGCCCGAGCGGCCAAAGGGGACGGGCUGUAAACCCGUUAGCGUAAGCUUACGUUGGUUCGAUUCCAACCCGGCCCA